UCAUUUUCAGUUGUCACAGGAUUUGUUGUGCAGAUUUUAUACAAGACAGGAUAAAGUCUGAGAUAAAUCUGCCUUAACAUAAAAAGAGGUUAGAAAUGUGACGGGUGAACGGAUCAGAGGAGUCAGACAGCUGGUGUGAGCAGCAGCUCACUUUCGUCUCUGCGCCAAAUAUCUCAAGGAUAAGAUGCUCGCCCUUUUUUUUAAUCACAAGCCACGCCUACUUAUCUACCAAAAUAGAUACUAAAUUAAACUAUAUUUGUGUCAACAGCUGUAGAAGAUAUCCCAAGGAUGAAAUAUCAAGUAUGGUAACUCUUCCCAUAUUGCAUUUCAAGUUAAAAGCCGAGUCUGUUUUUUCAGUGGAGAGACUCCAAUUAUUUUGACACAAGGCUUUUAUUCUGAACUUUGUGCAGGAUUUUUAUUUGGAAAAUUAAAUAACUAACAAAAAUCUUAGCUUGAGUCUCUGCAGAGCAUUCAUCACAUCAGCUGCAGAUCAUUUUCUGAGAAGACCAACCUCCCAAAUAACCUGUGUAACACCAAUAAGAAAACAAAGAAGCCCCUGAGCGAGGCCCUUAACCCCGUGUUCCCUCUGCCACAAACUUAACAAUAACCGAUGAAGAUGCUCUGGAGAAACCUUGAAUGAGUUUGACAAAGAAGGCUGAGAAGAAAGAGGAAGAACAGAUGCAGAGCACAACCCUGCAAGGUCACGUUCACUGCUCAAACUUUAUUCGAAGAAGAAGGAGAAAACCGGAUGACAUUGUGGGAGCAGAAGAAAGGGUCCAAAUGAGAGGAGGAGGAGGAGGUGUCUGAUGGAUUGAGAUUUUCUCAUGGAAAGACAACUUAAUGGUUUCGCUUUUUUAUUAUUUUAUUAAAUAUUAUCAUUUAUUAAAAUACA